rnacentral:tRNA from 1 species
GGCUAGGUAGCUCAGUUGGUAGAGCAGCGGACUGAAAAUCCGCGUGUCGGGGGUUCGACUCCCUCCCUAGCCACCU